GUAGGGAAUCUUGCACAAUGGAGGAAACUCUGAUGCAGCGACGCCGCGUGAGUGAUGAAGGCUUUAGGGUUGUAAAGCUCUGUUCUCAGGGAAAAACACAAUGAUUGUACCUGAGGAGAAAGGACCGGCUAACUUCGUGCCAGCAGCCGCGGUAAGACGGGGGGUCCUAGCGUUGUUCGGAAUCAUUGGGCGUAAAGCGGGCGUAGGUGGCUAUGUAAGUCAGGAGUGAAAGCCCUGGGCUCAACCCAGGAAGUGCUUUUGAAACUGCGUAGCUUGAGUGUGGAAGAGGAUAGUGGAAUUCCUGGUGUAGUGGUGAAAUACGUAGAUAUCAGGAGGAACACCGGAGGCGAAGGCGGCUAUCUGGUCCAACACUGACACUGAGGCCCGAAAGCGUGGGGAUCAAACAGGAUUAGAAACCCGGGUAGUCC
rnacentral:rRNA from 1 species